GACUUGAGGCGCAUGGCGCGCGUCCGCUUCACUUGAGCUGUGAAGUAUCUUUCAACCUUCAAGCGGAAGGCGUCGGUUCGACUCCGGCUCAAGUCU